UGGGGAAUAUUGCACAAUGGGGGAAACCCUGAUGCAGCGACGCCGCGUGAACGAAGAAGGUAUUCGUAUCGUAAAGUUCUGUCCUAUGGGAAGAUAAUGACAGUACCAUAGAAGAAAGCUCCGGCUAAAUACGUGCCAGCAGCCGCGGUAAUACGUAUGGAGCGAGCGUUGUCCGGAAUUAUUGGGCGUAAAGGGUACGCAGGCGGUUUAAUAAGUCGAAUGUUAAAGAUCGGGGCUCAACCCCGUAAAGCAUUGGAAACUGAUAAACUUGAGUAGUGGAGAGGAAAGUGGAAUUCCUAGUGUAGUGGUGAAAUACGUAGAAAUUAGGAGGAAUACCAGUAGCGAAGGCGACUUUCUGGACACAAACUGACGCUGAGGUACGAAAGCGUGGGGAGCAAACAGG
rnacentral:rRNA from 1 species